ACGACCUUACUUGAACAGGAUCUGUUCUAUAGGCUCGUACCUCUGUAUCCUUGUGAUCUAAGGAGACAGGAACCAAAUCCUGGUGGAUGAAUUAUGACCGUGUGAUCAGAGCGUGAUUAACAGCAUGGAUGGUCUUUGGACUGUCCGAUGCAGUAGAGGAUCGUUCUCAGCUGGUGUCUUCUGGCUGGGAUGGUCACACGGUUGUCUGACAGGUU